rnacentral:rRNA from 1 species
CCUACGGGAGGCAGCAGUGGGGAAUAUUGCACAAUGGGCGCAAGCCUGAUGCAGCAACGCCGCGUGAGGGAUGACGGCCUUCGGGUUGUAAACCUCUUUCAGUAGGGAAGAAGCGAAAGUGACGGUACCUACAGAAGAAGCACCGGCUAACUACGUGCCAGCAGCCGCGGUAAUACGUAGGGUGCGAGCGUUGUCCGGAAUUAUUGGGCGUAAAGAGCUUGUAGGCGGUUUGUCGCGUCUGCUGUGAAAAUCCGGGGCUCAACCCCGGACUUGCAGUGGGUACGGGCAGACUAGAGUGUGGUAGGGGAGACUGGAAUUCCUGGUGUAGCGGUGAAAUGCGCAGAUAUCAGGAGGAACACCGAUGGCGAAGGCAGGUCUCUGGGCCACUACUGACGCUGAGAAGCGAAAGCGUGGGGAGCGAACAGGAUUAGAUACCCUGGUAGUCCACGCCGUAAACGUUGGGAACUAGGUGUGGGUCUCAUUCCACGAGAUCCGUGCCGCAGCUAACGCAUUAAGUUCCCCGCCUGGGGAGUACGGCCGCAAGGCUAAAACUCAAAUGAAUUGACGG